rnacentral:rRNA from 1 species
UACCACGUUGAAUACGUUCCCGGGUCUUGUACACACCGCCCGUCACGUCAUGAAAGUCGGGGCACCCGAAGUGCCUGUUUAACCAGGCCCUAAGGUGAACUCGGUAAUUGGGACG